CUGGUUUGGAAUAUGUGCCCUGGCCAAAAAAAGAGGAGUCGGUCCUACCAGGAGGAAUCAAGUGCUGGUCACAGGCAGACGCUGUGAUGAGUUAAUAGCAGGCACUCUGCUAAGAUGGCCAUACCAACAGUCUGCAAAAAUGGGGCUGAACCAAAUACAGAGGAACGCUUUCUGUGGUGCCUGGUGCCUGAAUUCACUUGCUACCCAGGAAGUGGUGCUCAAUGGGACCACUUUGUAAGAUGCUCCUAAAGAAGAAUAAAGUCGCCUGAGACAUAAAGCUCUGUCCUGCAGUAAGUUUCGAGGACGUGGUACCGUUUGAAUGAGGCUGGAUAUGAGAACCUGGAAAGAGAUGAUGCGGAGAA